UACAGAGGGUGCGAGCGUUAAUCGGAAUGACUGGGCGUAAAGGGCGUGUAGGUGGUUUAAUAAGUUGGUUGUGAAAUCCCUGGGCUUAACCUAGGACUGUCAACUGAGACUGUUAGACUAGAGUACGGUAGAGGGUAGUGGAAUUUCCGGUGUAGCGGUGAGAUGCGUAGAGAUCGGAAGGAACACCAGUGGCGAAGGCGGCUACCUGGACUGAUACUGACACUGAGGCGCGAGAGCGUGGGGAGCAAACAGG
rnacentral:rRNA from 1 species